rnacentral:antisense_RNA from 1 species
CCCUGUCGGGUUUUACCUCCCCCUGGGAGAGCUCAGCCCUGGAUCCCGGCGUGCGGCGGAGCCUCUCUGGAGCCCGGACGGGACAGCCCACCAGGGUCUGCUUCUGUGAGGGGCCGAGGCGUCAUUCCGCGAAGCCUUUUCCUUGCUGUCGCCAUGUGAAGAAGGAUGUGUUUGCUUCUCCUUCUGCCAUGAUUGAAGCUGCUGGAAGGUACACAUCUUGGGAGUUUGCCCUUUGAAGCUCACCUGUGGACCUUUUUUCCUUUCGAAAAGCAGCAUAAGCUGCAAUAAAAAUUUGGUUUCAAGAUAACAAAGUCAGUCCCCAAAAAUCAGUAUUGAGAGUCACUGACAUUAAAUGAUGAAGAUACAAGGAUGGUGUGGGGACCUUUACUCUUCAAAGAUGAGCUAUACAUUCCCCUGAAAAGGCUGUCUGAAGACAGGGGAAGGCUGGAGAUGGCAACUUUGGCCUCUGCCAAGUACUCGUGCUAUUUUCUGUAUGUGAUACUAUCUGUUUUGUAACUCAGAGGCAACACCACAUACCUAGCAUAAGGCUUGAACUCCCUUUGGGGUUAUCAAUUACUUACAUAGCCUUCCUCUAAGGGAAGGCUUGCAAGUGGUUCAUAUUCGACCCUUCCAUGUGAUAAGCAUUCAUGUGG